GUCCAGGUAGCUUAAUGGUAAAGCACCCAACCGGCAAUUGGGGGAUCUGGGUUCAAGUCCCGGUCCGGGCU
rnacentral:tRNA from 1 species